UACGGGGGGUGCGAGCGUUGUCCGGAAUCACUGGGCGUAAAGGGCGCGUAGGUGGCCUGAUAAGGGUGUGGUGAAAGUCCGGGGCUUAACCCCGGAUCUGCCGUGCCGACUGUUUUGCUUGAGCACUGUAGAGGCAGGCGGAAUUCCGGGUGUAGCGGUGGAAUGCGUAGAGAUCCGGAAGAACACCGGUGGCGAAGGCGGCCUGCUGGGCAGUAGCUGACACUGAGGCGCGACAGCGUGGGGAGCAAACAGG
rnacentral:rRNA from 1 species